rnacentral:rRNA from 1 species
AUGCUAUCUUUUGAAAUCUUAUUGGCUGAUGAUGAGACGCGUGCUGAUCCUUUAGUGAAGAACUGUGCUUUGGAAUGCCAAGAUAUGGAAAUGUCUGAAGAGUCAGGUGCCACGAGUAAGUACAACGAUGAUGGCCAGAUAGAUGAUUUUCUGCAAUCAAUUCAGAAAAUACGGGAUGAAAUUCUUCGCAAGGAAAUCAUACUUCAAGAACGAAGUGCUCAGUGUGAUAUGGACAUCCAGACACUCUUGAGUGAAGGAAAGAUGACACCCAAAGCUGUAUCAAUAAUAAGAAAAUACAAGGAAACUUGCUCAGAUAUGACAGAAGUUACCAAUUCAUCUUGCUCUGGAGAUGGGGGCCAAUCUAUCACUAAGAGGAAGAAAUUGAAGGUGGCACUCCUCCGACAAUGCAAGGAGCUUGAUGAGAUCUGUCGUGGGGCCCAUUGGAUACUCCCAAGAUACACAGUAUUACCUUCAGUAUCAGAUGGAAUGUAUCACGCCAGUGUACGUUUGAGAUGCCCUGAUUUUGAGAUGAGCCUCACUGGUGGUCUUCGUCCUACCCCACAUGAGGCGAAGUGCUCGGCAGCUGCCAAUAUGAUACUGGAGCUUCACAAGAAGGCGGAAGAGCAAGAACAGGAGGGUACCUGA